ACACAUUGGUAUUAAAUGUGCGGAUCACAAAAUACAAAUUAAUUUUUUAAGCAGUUGAAAACAAACAAAAACAACCAAAAAAAAAAAAACAAAAACAAAAGAACUAUAAAAAUGUAUGGCCUAUCUCCAUCUGCGCUUGAUGUUAAUAAUCAGCGCUUUCGACUUCGUGAUAUUGACAACGAGCAAAUUAUGUCGACUUUUGGAAACAUUGGACAUACAUUGAGUAUAUCUGUUGAACGAUUUAUUACAAUUGGAGAGAUAAUUGCAGAGGAAAAUACUGACAUAAAAGUCGAUAUGUAUGAGGCUGCUAGAGAAGCUAGGGAUGCAGGAAAGUCCAUUGAACAGUUAUGUGACCCUUCGCCCUUAAGUGGAAUGGAACUCCGGCAUCAUACUGAGCCGUUAAAAGAUUACGGUGCUAUUAUACUGGCUGCCAGAUCGCUUCUUUCAUCAAUAACACGAAUUCUUCUGCUGGUGGACAUAAUUGUGGUUAAAAAGCUACUCACUGCAAAGAAGCGAGCUUCUGAAAGUUUGGAAAAGCUGGAGUCUGUUAUGAAUUUUACCGAGUUUGUUCGCGCGUUUUCUAUAUUUGGCACAGAAAUGAUUGAACUAGCUUACCUUACUGGGCACCACCGGAAUUCAUUUAAAGAAGAGCGGCGGCGUGCUCAAAUGUUCUCGGCUCGUCAGAUUCUCGAAAAGUCUAUAUCGAUUUUAUUGACAUCAUCAAAAAAUAGUUUAAUACACAGCGAUUGUGUGAUUGUUAAAGAAAAUCGGGACACUGUGUUUUGCCAAAUACGACGAGCAAUGGAUUUGAUACAUUUCGUAAUAAAGGAUAGUAUUUUCGAUUCAGCUAAGCAUAUGGCAUUUCGUAAUGCGCGAGGCAAUUCGAAUUAUGAAAAUGAAAGCAUAUAUACGACAAUAAAACGUAUUGUAAAUCUUAUUAAGAAAUUUAAACUACAAUCAAUACAAUAUGAUUGUAACAGCAAUAAGGAGGGAAACAAUAAUCCAGAUGCGUUUUAUCCCUUAUUUAAUGAUGACGAUUGGAAAAAAGAAGAGAACUUAGCUCCAAUUGACGGUAGCCACAUGAUUAAAAAUACAAAUUUUAAGAAACAUUUGACCUACGAAAGUCUGGACCUUAGUGAGGAGCUUUCUGUGGCUUUUGAUAAGUUGUUUGAGAAAACGCACGAUUUUACAGAUUCUCCUUACAUUAGUCAUGAGCAUCGCAAGAAUAUUCUAAUCUACUGUGACAACUGUAAACUGCAGUUUGAUAUGUACCUCAAUCAUUUGAAAAAAGACUAUCAUGAUAAUAAAGGCUUAAGAGUGCCAAUACAAGGCAGGGAACCAGAAAUGAGUUUGCUUGAAAGUCUACAAGAUUUGUGCAAGCAGCUUGUCAUGUCUGUAUCAAGCCAAAUAGCUGACUUCAAUGAAUCGCUUAGCAUUUGUACAAGGAUUGUGAAAUCGUUUUAUGUUUUGGCAAUGGCACACGAUCUUGAGAAUCUAAAUCAGUGCUCUACCAAGUUUCACGACUGCUGUGAUCAUAUUUUCGAUAUUUGCAAGUUGUUACAGCACAUAGCACCAACGGAAGGACUUCAGGUUCAUGCGAAAUGUUUAGCGAUUAACUUGCGCAUCUAUGGUCCACAAGUAUUUGUUGCAGCUAAAAUCCUUUGGAAAUACACUAACAGCAGCGCAGCAAAUGAAAAUUUUGAAUCAUUUUUGGGCAUGUGGAAGUGGUUAGUAAAUGAGAUUUCAACAAUAUCUAAAAAAAUCCUUGCAUCGGUAGACACAACUAAAACUGAUAUGGACUCUCAACUAGAGAAAUGUGAAACAACAAUAAAAUCAUCAAAACCACCUGGAACGUCCUCAGAUGAUAGAGAAAUCGUGGAGUACUCAGGCAUAGAUAGUAAAAACAAUGGAGAUUCAAAAUGGACAGAGGAUCUAUCAGAUGACAACGACAUAUUGAAAAGAGCCAAAAAUAUGUCAGCUAUGGCUUUUUUGAUGUAUCAAUUUACGAAGGGAAACGGUUCUUUACGAACGACACAAGAUUUGUUUACUCAAGCGGAAUAUUUUGCUGAAGAAGCCAACCGACUUUAUAAAGUCCUUCGCCAUUUUUCAUAUCAGGUACCUGCAAGUGAUAACAAAAAGGAUCUUCUAAGCAUAUUAGAUAGAGUGCCAACUUUUGUCCAAGCUCUACAAUUUACAGUAAAAGAUCAUACAGUCGGAAAAGCUGCAACAUUUGUUAAAGUUGAUCACGUCAUAAGGGAAACAAAAAAUCUUAUGAAUGUUAUAAAUAAAGUCGUCUCGAACUGUUUUGAGUGCGCAAACAAGUACAAACUAAAUUUUACCGGUAUUACGGGCGGACUUACAUCUGGGUCCGUACGUGGAGAUGAAAAUCUUGCUGGUGGAAUGUGUGACUCCAAAGGAACAACAAGCAGCACCGAAGGAAGCAUGUGACAUUAUGGAAUGGCUCGAAGAGCCAAAGGUGAUGCCAGACGGACGAGAGUAUCAUUUUUAUUGUUUUGAACAUACCUUAUAAAUGUUUCAACUGUACAAAUAUAUAUUGGCUACUACAAUAUUCCUCAGACAUCCAGAGAAUUUAUUUUAAAUAAUAUUUACAACUUAUUUUCAAAAAUAUUAUUAUCAUUCCCACAAAGGGAAAAAGGUUAUCCAAAAAGGAAUUUGCAAUCAACGUCGAAGCGUAAUUUAGACAGUAUUGGUGGGGGACACUUAAUAAAAAAAGCUGACUAUUAUUGAUAGAAAAUUGAUU